rnacentral:SRP_RNA from 1 species
UGAGGGGUCCACGCAAAGGAGCCCUGUGAACCUGGUCAGGGACGAAAGUCAGCAGCCAUAAGCAGUCAGCUUUUUGUGCAGUGGACCUCUCAUCU